AUUGAACGCUGGCGGCAGGCCUAACACAUGCAAGUCGAGCGGAUGAAGGGAGCUUGCUCCUGGAUUCAGCGGCGGACGGGUGAGUAAUGCCUAGGAAUCUGCCUGGUAGUGGGGGAUAACGUCCGGAAACGGGCGCUAAUACCGCAUACGUCCUGAGGGAGAAAGUGGGGGAUCUUCGGACCUCACGCUAUCAGAUGAGCCAAGGUCGGAUUAGCUAGUUGGUGGGGUAAGGGCCUACCAAGGCGACGAUCCGUAACUGGUCUGAGAGGAUGAUCAGUCACACUGGAACUGAGACACGGUCCAGACUCCUACGGGAGGCAGCAGUGGGGAAUAUUGGACAAUGGGCGAAAGCCUGAUCCAGCCAUGCCGCGUGUGUGAAGAAGGUCUUCGGAUUGUAAAGCACUUUAAGUUGGGAGGAAGGGCAGUAAGUUAAUACCUUGCUGUUUUGACGUUACCAACAGAAUAAGCACCGGCUAACUUCGUG
rnacentral:rRNA from 1 species